CCUACGGGAGGCAGCAGUAGGGAAUAUUGCUCAAUGGGGGAAACCCUGAAGCAGCAACGCCGCGUGGAGGAUGAAGGUUUUCGGAUUGUAAACUCCUUUUGGUAGAGAAGAUAAUGACGGUAUCUAACGAAUAAGCACCGGCUAACUCCGUGCCAGCAGCCGCGGUAAUACGGAGGGUGCAAGCGUUACCCGGAAUCACUGGGCGUAAAGGGCGCGUAGGCGGGAUAGCAAGUCAGAUGUGAAAGCCUAUGGCUUAACCAUAGAACUGCAUUUGAAACUGUUAUUCUAGAGUAUGGGAGAGGUAGGUGGAAUUCCUGGUGUAGCGGUAAAAUCCGUAGAGAUCAAGAGGAAUACUCAUUGCGAAGGCGACCUGCUAGAACAUAACUGACGCUGAUGUGCGAAAGCGUGGGGAGCAAACAGGAUUAGAUACCCGAGUAGUC
rnacentral:rRNA from 1 species